UACGGAGGGGGCUAGCGUUGUUCGGAAUUACUGGGCGUAAAGCGCACGUAGGCGGCUUUGUAAGUAAGAGGUGAAAGCCUGGUGCUCAACACCAGAACUGCCUUUAGACUGCAUCGCUUGAAUCAUGGAGAGGUCAGUGGAAUUCCGAGUGUAGAGGUGAAAUUCGUAGAUAUUCGGAAGAACACCAGUGGCGGAGGCGGCUGACUGGACAUGUAUUGACGCUGAGGUGCGAAAGCGUGGGAGCAAACAGG
rnacentral:rRNA from 1 species